rnacentral:rRNA from 1 species
GUACGGGAGGCAGCAGUGGGGAAUUUUUCGCAAUGGAGGAAACUCUGACGAAGCAACGCCGCGUGGAGGAUGAAGGCCCUCGUGGUCGUAAACUCCUGUCUAGCGGGACGAAAGCGUUACGGGUGAAUAAUCCGUGAUGUUGACUGUACCGCUGGAGGAAGCUCCGGCUAACUCCGCGCCAGCAGCCGCGGUAAUACGGAGGGAGCAAGCGUUACUCGGAAUUAUUGGGUGUAAAGGGCGCGUAGGCGAUCUGAUAAGUCUCAUGUGAAAACCCAAGGCUUAACUUUGGAAUGGCAUGAGAAACUGUUGGAUUUGAGUUCCGGAGAGGAAGGCAGAAUUCCCGGUGUAGCGGUGAAAUGCGUAGAUAUCGGGAGGAAUACCAGUGGCGAAGGCGGCCUUCUGGACGGAUACUGACGCUGAGGCGCGAAAGCCAGGGGAGCAAACGGGAUUAGAUACCCCGGUAGUCCC